UACGUAGGGUGCAAGCGUUGUCCGGAAUUAUUGGGCGUAAAGGGCUCGUAGGCGGUUUGUCACGUCAGGAGUGAAAACUCGGGGCUCAACCCCGAGCCUGCUUCUGAUACGGGCAGACUAGAGGUAUGCAGGGGAGAACGGAAUUCCUGGUGUAGCGGUGAAAUGCGCAGAUAUCAGGAGGAACACUGGUGGCGAAGGCGGGUCUCUGGGCAGUAACUGACGCUGAGGAGCGAAAGCGUGGGGAGCGAACAGG
rnacentral:rRNA from 1 species